rnacentral:rRNA from 1 species
UGAACGCUAGCUACAGGCUUAACACAUGCAAGUCGAGGGGCAGCAUGGUCUUAGCUUGCUAAGGCCGAUGGCGACCGGCGCACGGGUGAGUAACACGUAUCCAACCUGCCGUCUACUCUUGGACAGCCUUCUGAAAGGAAGAUUAAUACAAGAUGGCAUCAUGAGUCCGCAUGUUCACAUGAUUAAAGGUAUUCCGGUAGACGAUGGGGAUGCGUUCCAUUAGAUAGUAGGCGGGGUAACGGCCCACCUAGUCUUCGAUGGAUAGGGGUUCUGAGAGGAAGGUCCCCCACAUUGGAACUGAGACACGGUCCAAACUCCUACGGGAGGCAGCAGUGAGGAAUAUUGGUCAAUGGGCGAGAGCCUGAACCAGCCAAGUAGCGUGAAGGAUGACUGCCCUAUGGGUUGUAAACUUCUUUUAUAAAGGAAUAAAGUCGGGUAUGGAUACCCGUUUGCAUGUACUUUAUGAAUAAGGAUCGGCUAACUCCGUGCCAGCAGCCGCGGUAAUACGGAGGAUCCGAGCGUUAUCCGGAUUUAUUGGGUUUAAAGGGAGCGUAGAUGGAUGUUUAAGUCAGUUGUGAAAGUUUGCGGCUCAACCGUAAAAUUGCAGUUGAUACUGGAUAUCUUGAGUGCAGUUGAGGCAGGCGGAAUUCGUGGUGUAGCGGUGAAAUGCUUAGAUAUCACGAAGAACUCCGAUUGCGAAGGCAGCCUGCUAAGCUGCAACUGACAUUGAGGCUCGAAAGUGUGGGUAUCAAACAGGAUUAGAUACCCUGGUAGUCCACACGGUAAACGAUGAAUACUCGCUGUUUGCGAUAUACUGCAAGCGGCCAAGCGAAAGCGUUAAGUAUUCCACCUGGGGAGUACGCCGGCAACGGUGAAACUCAAAGGAAUUGACGGGGGCCCGCACAAGCGGAGGAACAUGUGGUUUAAUUCGAUGAUACGCGAGGAACCUUACCCGGGCUUAAAUUGCAGAUGAAUUACGGUGAAAGCCGUAAGCCGCAAGGCAUCUGUGAAGGUGCUGCAUGGUUGUCGUCAGCUCGUGCCGUGAGGUGUCGGCUUAAGUGCCAUAACGAGCGCAACCCUUGUUGUCAGUUACUAACAGGUUCCGCUGAGGACUCUGACAAGACUGCCAUCGUAAGAUGUGAGGAAGGUGGGGAUGACGUCAAAUCAGCACGGCCCUUACGUCCGGGGCUACACACGUGUUACAAUGGGGGGUACAGAGGGCCGCUACCACGCGAGUGGAUGCCAAUCCCCAAAACCUCUCUCAGUUCGGACUGGAGUCUGCAACCCGACUCCACGAAGCUGGAUUCGCUAGUAAUCGCGCACCAGCCACGGCGCGGUGAAUACGUUCCCGGGCCUUGUACACACCGCCCGUCAAGCCAUGGGAGCCGGGGGUACCUGAAGUGCGUAACCGCGAGGAGCGCCCUAGGGUAAAACUGGUGACUGGG